GGUUUCUAAACUUCAUAUCUUUUCCAUGAGUUCAUUUAAAAGCAGCAAAAUCUUUUUCUCAAUCCUUUCUGGACGCUUUCCCCUGUUCUGCUUUUCAGUGUGAGGAGCAUGGUGGACUAUAAUGAGGUGCAGAGGAAUUUGAACAUGGAUGCACACACAAGGAAAAGGCCAUGUGAAGCUGAAGGCAGAGAUGCUUCACCAAACCGAAGAAUGUGAAAGACAGCAAGCCACCAGAAGCUAGAGGAGAAGCAUGGAGCAGAUACUUCCUCACAGCCCUCAGAGGGAACCAACCCUGCUGACACCUUGACCUUAGAUUUCCAGCCUCCAGAAC
rnacentral:lncRNA from 1 species